CGCCCUUUGUCCUGCUGCUCUCAGCCAUGAUUACAAGACCGGUCUCCAUCCUCCCAAGCUCUGCUUCAUCCCAUGCAGCACACAAGUCCCUUCUCUUCCACUUCAUCCCACUCAGUCCUGUUAGGAUCCAGAGUAGACCUCACGUCUGGGCUGAGUGGAGCUUUUUAUUUUCUGACACGCUGCAUAUGUCCAUCCCAGUCUUGACCCUGUUAGAAACUUGAAUUAGAAAUCUGCUAACUUCUCUUCAGCGCCAUCACUCAAUCACCAUCUUAUACUGGAGUCUUCA
ensembl:lncRNA